rnacentral:lncRNA from 1 species
GAAGUCAUGGACGAAUAUCUUGAGUAUCUUCUUCCAGACGCCUUUCAUACACUCCUUGGUGACAUCACCCCAAGCUCAAGCAAGGUUCUUGAUGCAGUCAUAGAUGUUGUAAUCCUCCCAGAAUUGCAUCAGUGUCUUCCUCAGUUGCAGCAAUAGACUGGGCAAGGUCCUCCUCAGGUAGUAGACCUUAAAAGCUGCUGUAACUUCUUGAUCCAUUGAUUGGACCAAAGAGGUGGUGUUUGGAGGAAGAAACACUGCUUUGAUAUUGGGAUGAAGAUCACCAAUAAAAGAAGGAUGUCUGGGAGCAUUAUCAACAACAAGCAAAAUCUUGAAAGGUCGUUAAAAGUUUCUCCAUGUCUGACAUGGGCUCUUGAAUCUUCCUAGUCUCAUUGCCUCCAAGGAAGCAGAUCCUCUGACAGCUCCCACCACUUUGUUCUUGUUCUUCAAGAUCACAGCUGUGGCGGAAUGGGACAUGCCCGACUGAUUCACUCUCCACCCUUCUCCGCUC